GCUGAAGUGGUUAAACAUGAACGGGCCAAAGCGCACAUGGCAGCAGGUCAAAAUCAAAUACAAGAACAUUCUGCAGAAUGCAGUGAAAAAGAAUACCCACAGACAAGGCACGGGUGGUGGGUCACCAAAGGCUGACCUUACCCCAGCAGAGGACAUGGCCUUGGAGCUAAAUAAAGGCAGGCCCGUCUUAGAGGGGAUCCCUGGGGGGAAAGAGACGAGCAUAGGUUCCUCCCAAGAUGCCACCCGCUUCAUUCAAGUGUCUGGCAGCACUGUGUUCCUGUUAGAGCCACCAGCACAAGCACCAGACGAUGCUGAUCCAGUGAGUACUCCAUCAAAGGCAUACUGUAGGCCUGGCAUGUCUUGUCUACUAGCUUCAAUAUGAAUCCGAUUAAAUGUGAUCGGGUGAAAGCCCCAGUGCAGCAGCAACAGCACAUGAUGGAGACGAUGAUGAGGAGGAGACCAUCUCUCUGGAUUCCAGAAGGCAUGAGGACCCAGAUGCUAUACAGUGGGAAAACCAGCCUGGCAACAUAAGCUCACAAGCUAUCAGAAAGUUGUAUGGCAACCACCUCCGGCGCCAAAUAGAACUGGCAGACAUAGACAUUCAGUACAAGAAGAAAAAGAUGGAAAAUCUUGCACUGGAGUCCGAAAUAAAAAAGAGGACAAUUAGGAAACUGGACCUUGAAAUAAAAAAAACUUGAGAGGGAGCUCCAAGAAGAUGACACAGCUCAAAAUAAAAAUUAGCAAUCAGUACAACCAAGUCAUCGUUAUAAGGCACCGGCAUCUUUUGCCCACCCCCCCAGCACCAGGUGUGGCCACUAGCCUAUAUGAAGGCCCAAAAUUGUGUGUUCCUUUCUGCUCUGAC